rnacentral:rRNA from 1 species
AAAUUGAAGAGUUUGAUCAUGGCUCAGAUUGAACGCUGGCGGCAGGCCUAACACAUGCAAGUCGAACGGUAGCACAGAGGAGCUUGCUCCUUGGGUGACGAGUGGCGGACGGGUGAGUAAUGUCUGGGAAACUGCCCGAUGGAGGGGGAUAACUACUGGAAACGGUAGCUAAUACCGCAUAACGUCGCAAGACCAAAGAGGGGGA